rnacentral:rRNA from 1 species
AAGCCUGACGACGCAACGCCGCGUGGGGGAUGAAGGUCCUCGGAUUGUAAACCCCUGUCGAGCGGGACGAAUGGCCCGCGACCCAAUACGUCGCGGGAGUGCCGGUACCGCCAGAGGAAGCCCCGGCUAACUCCGUGCCAGCAGCCGCGGUAAUACGAGGGGGCGAGCGUUAUUCGGAAUUAUUGGGCGUAAAGGGCGCGUAGGCGGCUUGGUAAGUCAAAGGUGAAAUCCCCUCGGCUCAACUGAGGAAUUGCCUUUGAAACUGCCUGGCUUGAGGCCGGGAGGGGGUAGCGGAAUUCCCAGUGUAGCGGUGAAAUGCGUAGAUACUGGGAGGAACACCAGUGGCGAAGGCGGCUACCUGGACCGGUUCUGACGCUGAUGCGCGAAAGCGUGGGGAGCAAACAGGAUUAGAUACCCUGGUAGUCCACGCUGUAAACGAUGGGUGCUCGGUGUCGCGGGUAUCGACCCCUGCGGUGCCUUAGCUAACGCGUUAAGCACCCCGCCUGGGGAGUACGGUCGCAAGGCUG